GCAUUAAGGAAACGAUUUCCACGUUAUCCCUUAUAGGGAUUUGCCACCCAUAUUUUCAGAGGCCGGGUCAGAUUGCAAUCCCUACAAUUGGAACAAGGGUGUGUUUACUUUCGGCUACCCCUUUGAUUGCCCGAUUGCGUGGGCCGGGCCAAUGUCUUUUGGACAUGUUGGUCGCGACCGCGAUUCGAUAUCAGUUGUACUGUCGGAGAUAAGCCAUAAAUAAACGGAGGGAAAGAAAACAUUUCACAGAACAAAAAAAAAUAUGGUAUUCAUAUCUAUGUGGUUUACCUGUACAGCGAAAAACCGGUUCGCAGAUUCUUUUCACCUGGGCGAACUGCCAAUCUGGGAGACGAGGUAAAAGUGCCAAAAUGUAUAUCGUUUUAAUGGGUUCUCUAUGUGAGGCGGAGACUGUGUGUAGUGCAAUCAGAAAGCAUAAUCGAGGCAAUCGACCAUGAAACUGAGCAACAACUACGCAAACUAUCUAUAAGAUACAUUUCCCAUCGCACAGCCAAUUGUGGCCAGGAAGGGGGUAAAAGUUUACACAGAACUUCCUGUUGCUAAAAUGUACAACGAAACGUUUUCAACAUUGAAUUCGAAAUAUUGGCAAAUAUUGGUUGGAUUUCAAAGCUUUUGAACGCGCGACGGCGACGAACACAACUGAGUUAUGAAAACUGAAUGAAAAGCACAAAAGCAGAGCAAAGUAAACUUGUUUGCCGCCUGCCCACCCUAAACAAAAGGGAGGGAAAGAGCGAGCAAUAUGAAGAGAGAGAGAAACAUCAAUAUUGGCGCUUUUUUUGAUUUAACAACACUGGCAGUGAGAACGAGGCAUUACCAUCUGGUAAAAAAGCUUUCG
ensembl:ncRNA lncRNA:CR43974 long non-coding RNA:CR43974